UACGUAGGGGGCAAGCGUUGUCCGGAUUUAUUGGGCGUAAAGUGCACGCAGGCGGUUUGGAACGUUUGGGUUUAAAGCUACUGGCUUAACCAGUAGAGAUGCUCGAAAACGGCCAGACUUGAGCGCAAGAGAGGGACACGGAACUCCAGGUGGAGCGGUGAAAUGCGUAGAGAUCUGGAAGAACACCAAUGGCGAAGGCAGUGUCCUGGCUUGCCGCUGACGCUCAGGUGCGAAAGCCAGGGGAG
rnacentral:rRNA from 1 species